rnacentral:lncRNA from 1 species
UAUAAACAAACUCACAUUAUUAUUAUUGUGUUCACAAAAAAAGCAAAAAUGGAGUACAACUUAAUGUUAUUAUACACAAGUUUAGCAAUAGGAAUUUUAACCCUAAUUAGUGUUCUAAAGAGAGCAAAUGGAUGGUUUUUUACAAUCAAAUUUAGUCCGAAGAAAUUUAACCUGCCUCCAGGUGACAUGGGCUGGCCAUUAGUAGGGAGCAUGCUUUUUUUCUUACAAAGUUUCAAAGAUGGUAAUCUUGGCUCAUUUUUUUCCUACUAUGUUACUAGGUAAAUAUUCUCAACUAAUUAAUUCUCUACAUAUUUACGGAUCGGAGACUAAAAAUAUUAACUUUUAACGAUCUAUAUACAUAUAUAGAGACUAUUUUGAACGUACUACCGAUUUAUUUAUUUUUAGGUUUGGAGAGGGUGGGAUGUACAAGACGUUCAUGUUUGGAAAGCCAAGUAUUAUCAUGACAAAAGUUGAAAUAAGUAGGAAAAUACUUAUGGAUGAUGAAAAUUAUGAUAGAGGUAUGCCAAACUAUAUCUUAAAAAUAGCAGGAUACGCUCAAGUUGGUGGAUUUACAAGAGAAGAAAGCAAGAGUCUACAUAGAAUGGCAACAUUAAUAAAAAGUGACAUAUCAUUAUUAUCAAAUUACUUUGAUUUUGCAAAAGAAAUUGUGAAAAAAUCAUUUGAGAAAUUGGUUGACAUGGAAGAACCAAUUGAUGCCCUUUUAGCAAUUAAAAGGCCAGCAUUUGAUGUGUUAAUGAGAAUUCUUAUAGGUGAUGGAGUUGAUAAUGAUAUGAUUGAUGUUCUAUUUGAAGAGACUAUUUAUCUUAUUCAUGGUUGUCAUGGCUUGCCAUUUAAUAUACCAGGAUCAACUUACAAUAGGGGAUUGAAGGUAAAUUUAAUUUGUCAGUAAAUUUCAUCUAGACACUCAAAUUAAGUUCUGCUCCAGUUCAAAACUUGAAAACAUGGUAAAGUGUCUAAAAAGAACACUUCAAGUUCAAAUUUUUGAAAAACUUUUCUCAAGUAUACUGUCUAUUAGGUAAUUCAGUCAACCACAUAAUAAAAUAUGUCAUCAUUUGAUUUAUUUAAUCGUCAUCAAUUGAAACAUGGUUGAGAAUUUACGUUUUUUGUUAACCUAAGAAAGUGACAUAUUUUAAUUAGGAUAUGCACAAAAGUUUUUCCAAAAUUUGAACCGAAAAAUGUCUAAUAGAAUCACUUUAUCAUGUGUUCAGAUGUUUAAUCUUGAUAUUUGCUUGUUUGCUUUGAAUUGACUUUUAUUUUUUUCAGGCUAGAAGAGCAAUGGCUAAGAUAUAUCAAUAUAUUUUAGAUGAAAGAAAAGUGAUAAUUGGGAAAAACAAAACAAGAGAAAAGUCCAAUAUUAUACUAGAUAUGAUGUUAAACAUUCAAGAUGAUGAUGAUGAAGGUUUCAAUGAUGAGAAGAUCAUUGCAAUGCUUGUUUCUUAUACAUUUGCUGGUUUUGAGUCUGUUGCUUUGGUAGCAUCAACUGCAAUUAUGUAUUUGGAAAAACAUCCUCACUUCUUGGACAAAGCUAAAGUAUACCUACUCAUCAUCAUUACUUUUAUUUAUCGUAUAAUACAUAAACGUGUCUCUUAAUUUAGCUUCAGCUUGUAUUUACGCCUUUUAAACAUGUAGACAUAUACAUACGUCUAUCUGGCAUCCUACAUGACCAUUCUAUGUCCCAUGUGGCAUAUUAAGUCACGUAGGAUAUGUCUACUUGUUUAAUUUCCUACUUGAAGGACAUAAAUAUCAGUUGAUGACAAAUCGUGUCUUUGUAGGAGGAACAAGAGGAUAUAGUAAAGAGAAGAUCAUCUCCAAAUGAAGGACUUAAUUUCCAUGAAAUUAAAGAGAUGAAGUAUCUUAGUAAUGUAAGAUUUAAAUAAUUUUUUAAUUUUAUUUUUGGACUAUCAUGCAUUAAAUAUUCUUAUAUACUAUCUUUUUUUUUUCAAAUUUGAAAGGUAAUUAAUGAAUCAUUGCGUAUUGCUACUGCCAAAACAAUAUUCUUUAGAGAGGCAAGAAAUACUAUUAAUAUAAAUGGUUAGUAUCUCUUUUAACUUCGAUUUGAUUUCUAGCAUAGUUACUCAAUUUCAUGCGUAUUAAAAAGCGAUUUGAUUUCUCGCAUAGUUACUCAAUUUCAUGCGUAUUAAAAAGUUUAUUAUAAAAUUUCGCAGGGUAUACCAUACCUAAGGGGUGGAGGUUUUUGUCAUUUUCAUGGAAUUAUCAUAUGGACCCUCNNNNNNNNNNNNNNNNNNNNNNNNNNNNNNNNNNNNNNNNNNNNNNNNNNNNNNNNNNNNNNNNNNNNNNNNNNNNNNNNNNNNNNNNNNNNNNNNNNNNNNNNNNNNNNNNNNNNNNNNNNNNNNNNNNNNNNNNNNNNNNNNNNNNNNNNNNNNNNNNNNNNNNNNNNNNNNNNNNNNNNNNNNNNNNNNNNNNNNNNNNNNNNNNNNNNNNNNNNNNNNNNNNNNNNNNNNNNNNNNNNNNNNNNNNNNNNNNNNNNNNNNNNNNNNNNNNNNNNNNNNNNNNNNNNNNNNNNNNNNNNNNNNNNNNNNNNNNNNNNNNNNNNNNNNNNNNNNNNNNNNNNNNNNNNNNNNNNNNNNNNNNNNNNAGGGUGGAGCAAGUUAAUCCAGAGAGCAAAAUCGAACCUCCGAGAAAUUGUCUUGUGAAAUUCAAGAAGAUCUAAGCAUCAUCAUAUAUCAUAUGAAUAUGAAUGACAAUUUCAUUGUUUUGCAGUAUUUCCUAUUUUCAGUACUCUUUUAUCAUGUGGAUUUUAUGUGUGUGACUCUUUUUAUGUAAGCUACCUAUCGUUGAAAAUAAUUAUGUUAAAUGUUUUUAUUUAUAUGUUUGGUGUUAUUUUAUAUGUCUAUUUAGGAAUUUUAUGUCUAAAAUUAUUCUUUAGUAUAUAAAUAAAUACUUAUAUAUCUAAAUAAACACUUUAAUAAUUAACUAAUUGAUGUUGUUACAUAGGAGUAAAGUUCUUAAAACAUAAUAUGACAUAAAUUUACCUAGGAGAUUUUUGUAAUUCUUUUAAACUAUAGUUGUUUUACAUAAAUAUGUUGACACUUUUUUCUUGUUCCAUAAUUUUCCCAAAAUUAAAUACUACCCCAAAAUAUAGGCCUUCGCGCAAAUGACCCGACUAAUAUCACUACAAAAGCCCACAAAAUUUUUGCAACCCUAUUGAUCGACUACUUUAAACUUUCAUCCUGUUAGUAAAGAUUUAAUACUUUUACCACCUUAUAAUCUUCUUCCCGUCCCUCUAAUUUUAAAAUAAAAAGAGAGGAGUAUUUUAAUUGGCUAACCGAAUAUUUUUUUCACUCAUAAAUUUUCAAUUUUUAAUGAAAUUUACGUUCUAAAUACUAAUUCAAUUCAUAUAUAGUCACGACAUACAUGUUGAACAUGCAUGUGAUAACAAAAUACAAAUAAAUGUUCUAAGAAGAGACAAUAUAUAUAGUAUGAUAAACACAAAAGUGAUGCAUACUUGUAAAUAAACAAUGAAGUUUCAUUUUUUGUGGUCCUAUUUUGUGGAACAUGUGUUAAAUACGUCAGUAUCUAACAAGAACUAAUAAAUAAGAAUGAAGAAAAACCUAUAAAUAAUAAUAACAUUUUCUGGCGAUAUAUUGAACUUUUUUUUUUUCAUUUAAUAUUCGAUAUCACAUUGAAAAUAGAUUAAAUUUGAAUAUAUAUAGUACAACAUAUGUCAAUAUGUUACUCAUGACAGUAUUGAACAAGAGCCAGAAAAUUAUUUGGUGUUUAGUCUUUCUUUAGUUGCCAUAUUGGACAAGAAAUUUGUAAUAAUAGCCAAGAGAAAGAGAGUUUGCUUUGCACUAUAUUUGGAAUUGAUGUGAAAAUAACUAUAUUUUAUAGAGGAAAAACAAUAUAGGUUUAUAUUUUGAUCAAGAUAAUUAGUUGUGUGAUGGAGAUUAACCCGUGACACACACCACUCAUUUGUUUAUAGAGGAAACAUAUAGCAUAAUAUCAUGUUUCUUUUUUGUUAGUAUUCGGAUCUGUAAGAUAAGUUGUAUGAAUUUGUGAGAUUCAGAUUAACCAAUGACAAAACCAUCCUUGUUCAAAGUAUCAUUUGAGACUUCUUCGUUGAAACUAUAUGACUUAGAAGUGGAUGUACAAUAAUUCAUUUGAGGGACUUUUUGAGAUAGUAAUGAAUAUCGAGAUGAUCAUAUUGAAAUAAUAAUCUUUUUAGUUUAGUCUGAAUAAAGAAUCAUUGUUUAUACUUUUAUUAUGUUAGAUUAGCUAAAAUAAUUUCUUACUCGUAAAAUUAACAUUGGACUUACCAUAAAACUUCUCCAUCUCUAUAAUUUGAAAUAAAACAACAAUAAUAUAUAAAGAGUUUCUACAUGUAAUUAUGUGUUGUUCAUUACUACAAUGAUAUUGAUAAAAUAAAAUAUGCAUAACCAAGGAAUAAAAAACCAAGAAAACGAAAAUCCUUUGUAUUUUCGAUAAACAAGCUCAUAAUUUGAGUAGAAUAAUAAGUAGUAUACAUUUGAAGGAUAUGUUAGCCCUUUUGUCAAUAUUAAGUUAGAGCUUCUCUCUCUAAGAAGUAUAUUUUGUUGUCCUCUUUAAUUUGUUAAUUUUUUUUGUGUAUAUACAUCUUGUGUGUUUACUUUUUUUUUAUAAUUUUUCUAAUAAAAGGUUCUGACUCCACCACAACCAUAUUUGAAAAUUAAUUUAUAUAAUUUUAUCUAGAAAAAAAUAAUUAAAAUCUAUCUAUGAAGUUUGAAUUUAGCCUCCCAAUUUAAGUGAACCGAUCUUGCAGUAAAUAUUAGUUAAACUCAAAAUAAAAAUAAAAAUUGGUACUUGUAAGAUUCCUCUUUUUCUUUCCAAUUAUUUUUACUUUCUCUAUCUUUGUUUUCCCUCUCGAAGAAAUAAUUAUUUAUAUUCUUUUUAACUCUUUUAUGGAGGCAUAAGCAUAUAUUGAAUCAACAAUAAAAAUUAUGAUGGAGUGAUAAUUAUCUAUUUAUUUUUAAUUAGAGAGGUGUAGUGUUUGAGUCCCGUUGGAUGUGAAAUCGCUUUUAAUAGAAUGAAACUCUAUGAAGUACAAGGACCGAAAUAACAAAAAAAGAAAAAAAAAAAAGUCUCUCAAGUCAUUCUGUUUUUUCAAGUGUUUAGAUUUAGAAAAUGCAAAUAUUGAUGGCCAAACAAAUACAAAAACCCAGAAUAUUCACUAAGAAAAAAUUAAAAUAUAAAAAAGUGACACGUGAUAAAAACCGAAGAUUCAAUAUUUAGUUUUUAUGUUAUAUCUACUGGUUAUAAUAAUCUAAAAUAAUAUAUUUUCGUUUCCUGUAUAAAUAGUUGAGUGUGAGAACCUUUUUUUUCACAUCAAACAAAUAACAAGUAUCAUAUAAUAUAAUUAAUUAUGGCAUUGAAAGUUGUAUUUGUUUUGUUCCUUGCAAUGCUUCUGUUUACAGAGUGCUAUGGUGAGCCUUUUUGUAUAAAACAUUGUACUAAUGUGUGCCAUGGUAACCCUUCGUGCUUUACUAAGUGCUCUAUCGUAUGUGAAAUGGACGUUGAAUGUUCUCUCGGCCAUUUUGAAAAUCGCAUUUGUAAUAUUGGAUGUUCUAUCGGUCAUUGUUACAAAUUUCUCAUCAAAUAUGGUAACUAACUACUCCUUGUCUUGAUAUACUUGUUUUGUUUGAAUACAUUUAUUUUUUGAUAUAUAUGUAUAUAAUCUUGCCUUACACAAAGAUUAUGUAAUUUUGCAGAUAAGAACAAGUUUGGAAGUUGCAUGACAAGUUGCAAUGAGAACUAUUGCAUCAGCAAUACUCCUCUAAAGAAAGCUUAAAAAGAAGGAUUUAAGAAUUAUUGCCACAAAAGUAUGUGUCUAUAUAUGACACUAAAUAAUUAAUUUGUAGUUGUAAUCUCUUUUUAAAAUUAUGUAAUUGGGCUAUAUUGAAUAAAACUUUUGUGCUUUAAUGUUCCUAUGUUAGUUUUAUUAAGUUAUGUUACGAAUAAAAUGUUUAUCGUUAUGUUUGUCCUAAUAUUUAGGAAGUAGUUUUAGUGUGGGUUGUUAUCAAGUUUUUAGAAGAAAAUCUUGGUGUAGUAGUUCCUAAUUUCUAGCUUCAGUCUUUCAUAUGUAUUUGUUUUAUAAAAGGACUGUUGUAGCAGUGAAAAAAACAACGUUAAGACAUAUGGGACUCAAUGAAAAAGAAAUAUCAAGACACUGCUAGAGUGAAGUGCGCACAACUUCAAGCCUUGAGAAGGGAUUUUGAGACUUUGCAGAUGAAGGAAAAAGAGUUUGUAAUGAUUUACUGCUAAGACGCUAAGGAGUAUGUAUGAUUUUUUGGAUGUGAAUUCAGGUGAAUUGAACUCUCGAUAUCGAUCUUGGCGUGAAUGAGUUAGUUUGGAACGUCAAAGUUCGAAGGUGCGUUGCGAAAUGAGGACUUUUGGGGAGAAUUUUGAGUUUUUGUCCCGUGCAAGUCGCUAUAAUUGGUGUCAAGCUGCUAUAACGGAAAAGUUAAUUCUCACUAUAGUGGGUGGUUCCGCUAUGGCGAAGCUGCUAUAGCGGGUUUGACCGCUAUAGCGGGGUUAGUCGGAUUUUUUUGUGUAGAAAAGUCCCAAAAUCGAUCAUUAUUGCCAAUUCAUUUUGGAGAACUGCAAAGACGACCUAAGGGUAUUUUUCGUCUGUUUUUCAUUGUUCUCUUUGAUAAAAGUAAGUUAAUUACUUCUCUAACUUAUAUUUUGAUUCUUACGAACCUAUAAUCUAUGGUGGUCAAUCUUAAGGGAGUAUUUUAACUUGACAUUAUGGUGGGAAAUGUCCUGGUUAGAUAGAAUGAUCAUGAAAUUGACCUAGGGUUAGGACUAAGUAAUAAUUCGGAUUUAAUUAGGCCAUUGUUCAUUGAUUGUGGUAUUUUAUUCUUGUUAUACUUUAUUCUUAUUUUAGACCAAGAACAAGACAAGACAUUAAUUAAAAACUCAAGUUCUAUAGAGUUUUCGAGGCUUGAUUCGAGGUAGGUGAUGGUUGUUUGUUUUCCAAUGUAUGUAAUGUUUGCAUGUUAACUACUUUAUAGUAAAACUGGUGCAAUGCAUGUGAGGAAAACAUAACAAAUGAAUAUGAAAUGAUAUCAUGUUGAUAAUCACAUGCAAUGAACCUGUUUAUGUUACUUGUGGCAUUAAGUCUAAUUGUUCAUUGUGAUUGUGCAUAUUGUUUGUGAUUGUUGAUUUGCUCGGAUACCGCAUCUGAUACAUAAUACUAAUGGUUGACUCGGAUAUUACGCCUGAUAUUGGAUAUCAUUCAGUUGUCUCUGAUGCGACACCGAUACAAUAAUAGUUUGUGUGUGAGUUCCAUGAGAGAAUCAGAUUUGGUUUGUUGUGAUCCUAUGAGACAUAUUUCAUGUAUUUGUUAAGUCAAGAGUUAUGGCUGGAAGUCUAUUUCUAUUGUUGACUUUUUGUUAAAUGUUUUGACUUAUGUUACAGUAUUGUGGUUACCUGUUUUAUAUUCAUAUCUUGGGGCUGAUCGUAUAAUUCUACCAGUACACUGUGAUUUGUAUAGUAAUACUGCAAUUGUUCUUUCUUUGUUGGGUACAAGACAUAUUCAGGUGCAUGUUUUGAGACCUCAGCUUUGAUACACGCGACUUGUAAAUUCUCGGGUGAGCUAUUUCUUCUGCGCUGUCCUGGAUUCCUCCUAGUUUCUUUGUCCAUCUUUUCGAACUCAAAUAUUUCAUAGACUUUAGUUUACUAUUUUUUUGUUGGGGUUGCAUCCUCUUAUUCUACAUACUUAGAGUUUCGGUACUAUGACUUUCACAUUUUAGGUAGUUGUUUUCCGGUGAUGAUUUUGGUAUUAAUUUUGUUUAUGGGGAUUAGAUCUGUUAUUUGAUUUAAACUGUUAUUCAAUUGUUUUAUUUUCAUGUUUUGACUCUUAAAAUCAUUUUGAUGGGUUAAAUUUUGGUUAGAAAUUGAUUCUUCCACCGGAAGGUUACUGUAUGUAUCACUCACGACAGUCUAGAUCAUGACACAAGGUCAAGCCCAAUUAUUGUGCAACGGUUAUUUGUAUUCUUUUUUAUAUAGAUCAUUCUAACAAUAUGUGUCAAUAUUCACAAGUAAGGUUAGGCCCUAUCUGAUUGUGCUAAACAUAUAUAGCAUGAAUUUGUGUGAUAAUUUCUCUAAAAAAAGAAGAAAAAGUAGAGCCAUUCUAAAAAACAUCACUAAUCAUCUUGAUAAUUUCUGUUCGUAUUUUAGUAGGAAUCUUCUUAACUUCUUUUCAUGUGUGAAUUUGUGUGACGGUGACUAACCAUCCUUGAUCAAAGUGUUAAUUGUUUAUAGAAAAAAUAUAUAGAAUGAAAUCAUUGUUUUCUCAGUUUAUAUUUAGAUCUAGAUAAGUUGUGUGACUUAAUGUGAUGAAUAUUAAUUAGUGCCAGAAUUAUCCUUGUUCGAAGUGUCAUUUGUUUAUAGAGGUAACCUAUAGCAUAAUGUUUUUUUUUUUAGUUUAUAUAUAUAUCUAUAAAUAAGGUGUGUAAAUUUAUUUGAUGAAGAUUAACUCGUGACAAAAACAUCUUUGUUUAAAGUGUCAUUUGUUUAUAGAGGUAACACAUAACAUAAAAUUAUUUUUCAAAAGUUUAUUCUAGAUAAAUUAAGUGAAUUUAUGUGAAAGGAGAUUAACCAGUAAUAGAACCAUCCUUGUGCAAAGUGUCAUUUGAAACUUUUUUGUUGAAACUACACUUGAUAACUUUUCUUGGUGCUUUAGUAGGAAACACUUGAGUUUUAUCCAAUACAGAAUAGUUACAUAACCUAGAAAAUUACAACCACAAAAUUGGUUAGUGCAUAAUAGUGUCAUAGACACAUAGUUUGUGGUAAUAAUUUUACUUAUUUAUUACAACUUCUUCUUAAAACUUUCUCUAGAGCAAUGUUGUCAAUGCAAUAGUUCUCACUGCAACUUAUCAUACAAUUUCCAAAAUUUUACUAAGGAGAAAUAUUAAAUAUAUUAUAUUAAUAAACUUUUUAGACUUUCAUGUCGCAUGGAAAUAUCUUAUAAAUAAUGUUUGGUUUCAUGCCAUCAAUUUUAUUGAGCCGCUCUUAUUUAUUGUAAAAAUACAAAUAGUAUGACAAUAUAAGGAAUGUUAUUUACCACACUGGACAAGAAAUUUGGAACUAUGACAAAGAAAACAUCUAACAUUACAAACGAUGUUAUGAGUUUCGACGUCGUUAUGAGUAGUAUCAAGUAGUAAGCAACCAACAUGUGACAUUUCAAUUUGACAUAAGAAGUCUCACAUCGACAAAACAUAAGAGAAAUGAUGUGUAUAUAAGUAAGCAGACAUUACCAACUAGCGACGAGUUUUAAAGUAGUGCGGGCCUAGAUCCAAAGUGGACAGUAUCACUAGCUAGUGGGCUAUGCCGUUACAAAUGGUAUCUGAACUACUCAUGUGUCAACCUUGUCGAUGUGGUACAAAGUUCCACUUAUUUUAGGCAAAUCCUGAUAAGGCAAGACAAACCUCAGUGUUGAGUUUAGUCAAAUCUCAUACGGUGGACAAACCUCAACGAGAACGCUGAGUCCAUAGAGGAGGUGUAUAUGACACCCCAACUUAAGAUAAGAAGUUCCACAUUAGCAAAUCACAUGAGAUGUUGGUUAUAUAAGUAAGCAUGUUUUACCAACUAGUGACGCGGAUCAUAUCUCUAAGAAUAUUAUGAGUUAGGUGGCCCAUGAACAACCAAAUUAAAGAUCAAUUAGUCUUCUUUUUGAUACUCCAAACCAUUUGUUAAUCCGAAUCUGAAGUAAAAGUAUGACCGUUUUACCAAAGACACUUAUGGGUCCAAUCUAAGGACCUGAGUUUUAUGGGUCCAAUCUACAACUCGUGAAUCAAUCCACGGAUUGUAGAUUGAACUUGUGAAACAAAGACCUGAAACUUGAUUUUUAGGCUUGAUUUUCACAUACCCAAUCUACUGAUCGUGAAUCAAUCUAUGGACCAUAGAUUGAGCUCGUGGAAUAAACUUUGAAGACUUAAAAUUACAUCCUGAAUUUCACAUAUGGGAUAUACGACUUGUAAAUCAAGCCAUGGUCCGUAGAUAGCCCUCGUGAAAUAUUCCGACAACUUUUUAGUCAAGAUUGUUUUGAUCCUUUCCCACUUUUUUAACUCCUAAACCACGAUGUUUUAUUCUAUCCUAAGUGGGAGUAAGGAAAAUUUAGUCAACUAAACAUCCUCAUUCAAUCCUAUAACACUUAGAAACAUCAUAAUAAUUACGUUAUAAGUUCUCUCAAGUAAGAAACUAGGAUUCUUCAUCCUCAAGCUUCAGUUCAAGAAUUUCAUCAAGUGUUUUGUUUUUGGAUAUGUGGAAUUUCAUCAAUGGAUAUCCUUUCAUCCCUUGGGUCCCAAAGUAAAUUUAUUUUUUCAGUUAAUGAUUUCUAUAUAAUUUAGGGUUCAUAUGAAAAACAUGGUUUUCAUUAUAUUUCAGUUCUUCUUCAUGGAUAGUCUUAAAUUACAUCUUUUUACCUACAACUCAGUAUAUUUAUAUAGUUAUUUUCAUGAGCUCACAUAAUAGGAAAAUUCAUGUCGUUGAACUCAUGAUUGUUAAAUUGCAUGUUCUAUUCAGAGUAUAGAAAUCAUGAUGCGUAGUUUUACAUUCAGUAUCCACGUGUUUAAAGACGCUUUCAAACAAAAUGUCUACCAGUUUACACUACAACAAAAACAACUUUUAGUGACAAUAAAUAGAUAUAUUAAUAAAGAGUGUUAAAAUCUUUACCGACAUUAGUUAAGUGCCAUUAGAUCCAAUGUCGCUAAAGACUUUAGGGACAUAUACAAAGAGUGCUAAUUGUCGCUAAAAAUACAUAUUUAGCGGCAAUUAAGCUAUUGCCAUUAAAAAUCAUUUUGAUGUAGUGUUAGUCUCAAUUUAUUAGUAUUAUAUUAUUGAGCUAUUUAGUUUACCAGUAUAAAUUUUGUUGGAAGUAUUACUUAGCACCGAACGAACAUGGGAAUGAAGGCUCCCCCAUCAAUUAGGACUGAGACCUUUAGUAUCAAUUCUUAAGUCCCAAAACUAUUUGUCACCAUAGGUUUUUAAGGAUCAUCCGUCAGACCAAGACUGCCAUCUUAAUUUUUUUUUAUACCGCACAACAAUGCUUUUUAUGUACUUUAAUUUAUUGAGAGUAAUUUGCUCGUGAAUUGAUGGUAACGAAGUUAUACAUAUUUAUUUCAUCAAAAAUAUAUUGAAAGACUAGAUUUAUUGAUUAACUAUGAUUCAAUUAAAGCCUUUAUUUUUACGGGCUACUCAGAGAUGCACUGUGUUGAUAGAAGUCAACAAAAAUCUUCUUCUGCACGUAUUUGAGCGUAUAUAUGCACCCCUUUUCUAAUAAGGAGUAUAUCCAUUUUAAAUCGCAAAAUUAAGGGAUAUAUUUACUUCUUUUCUCUAUAUAAAAUUAUAAAAUAAUACUUUUCUCAUCUCAAUUUUUGUGACACUUUUUUCUUCUCGAGAUUCAAGCUAUAUGAACUUUGAGACUUUGACAACAUUAUAAAAUGUGUUUGUUUGUUUUUUAGAAUAUUGACAUGAGAAGAAUUGCAACUUAUAAUAUUUUUCGUAUAAUUUUUUGAAUAUCAAUCUAAAUUUCAAUUUUAAAAUAUUGAGUUGAUCUAAUUCAAUGUAUUAAAUUCCACAACUACUGAAAUUAUUAUUUCUCGAUAAUUGAAAAAUGUCUCAUAAAUUAAGGUAGAAAGGAGUAUACAUUCCUAUUUUACAAUAUAUUUAUUAAAAAAAGAAAAAAGAAAAAGAAAGUUAAAUAAAUUUGAAAAUUUUAUUAUUGAAGUGAAUUGAUACCUAGUACAUUUUUGUUUUCAUCUUAUUUAUUGUUUCUUUAAUAUUCUAGUACAGAUUUUAUUAUUGUACACAUGGUUCGACCCCACUGUACGUAGCACGUCAGACGAAUGACGCGUUUUAUUUAUGUUCGAUGGGUAUAUUUCAAAAAUAAUAUUAUACUCUUUGUUAGAGGUGUAUUCAAAAUUUCGAGAUGAUGAGUGCAUUGUUAUGAAAAGGUGGAUUUACAAUACAAAUUUUAUCGAUUUGACAUUUAGGUUCUAUGAUUGAAAACAGUUAAAAUUUUAAAGUUAUAGAUCCAAAAAUAAAAUGCCAAAAAGUGCUACGUUUAGUCACGAGAUAUCUAUUUAAAGGGUUGAACUUUAAUUUUAAGUUUGACGGUGAAUUCGAAUAUAAAUUUUUUAAUUUUAUUUCAAAUAAAUUUGUAUAUAAUUAGAAACUACAUAAAAGAUAUUGUAAAUGAAAAAUAAUGUAACGACACGACCCAUCAUUAUUUAAAUGCACCUCACGUGGAGUCCCGAAAAUUUCUUGACUUCGACGUCAAAAAAUAAAUUUGGGACACACGAUGAAAUUAUUAAAUUUGAACUUAUUCGGACUAAAGUCAACCCGCCAAGUAGGUUUAUUCAUCACGCGAUUUAUAAGAUGAAGACAAAAAUGUCUAUGUUAAGGCAUGUGCAGAAGGGUCCACUUAAUGAAAUUUCCUUUUAUUGGUUUUCAAUUUGAUAUUCAUAUCUGCAUAAAAUUCAAAUUUGUAUCAUGUAAGACCUAUUUAAAAGGAAAUACUAUUUUUUAGUACAAUGCAUGUUGGUACCGUAAUCAUGUCAGUAUUGAAUAACUUGUAUAAAAUUGAAUAAAUAUUAGACAUAUUUAUCGUCUUACGUGGCGUUCUAUGCAUGACGAUUUUGUGUCAUAUGUGGUAUCCUACAUGUAUUUUGCAUGAUAUUAUAUGUGGUGGAUUCAAAUAGAUCGAUAAUGCCUACCAGUACUUGUUGUUUGUAAUGAUACUACUCUUGAUAUGCCACUUGACAUAAUCUUGUUGGAGGAUUCGGUAAUAUUUCAUAGGUGAAGACGAUGACGAUCUCCGACAACUUCUACGCACUCCUCUUCUCUUAUGAUGGGAGUUGUGUCAUAUUUUCUUUCAUACAUUAUAUCUUCUUAGUAACUCUUGUACCUGUUUAGACUAUUUCCAAAGAAACGUACAUCUAGAAUAUAUAGAAUUAGAUCCCCGAUACACCCAUUCCUUCCGCUGUUAACUCCACCCACUCACAUAAGAUCAUAACCUAACUCUUCUAUCACCUAAUAUUUCACCAAACACCAGACUACUAAACUUACCUUCCCAUUAUACGACAUGUGAUCAAGUAACCCAACUUAGCAAAUAAAUAUAACCAUAGUUAUAAAAUUGCUCGAAUUUUCAGAAAUUCCUAAUCAUCGCCUACAACGUAACAUUUUAACAUGUCAUCUUAGUGUUAGGGUUUUGCCCUGAUUUUCUUACCAUAAUUUAAGAUUUAUUUUUCCUUAAAGAAAAAACAAAACAUUACCAUAAAUGUUUUUACUUUUCUUGAAAGGAAAAUAUAAUAUUAUUUUAUAUUUGGUUUAUUCUCUCCUUUUAGGACUCCUUUUCUAGUAGGAAAGGUUUUAGGACUCUAUAAAUAUAGGUUUGUUUCUUCUAACACAAAACAAUAACAUCCACAAUGUAGUCGUUUAAGAUUCUUGUUUAUGGGGAGAUUUAUUCUCUCUAAAGUUUCAAUGUUUUUCUUUAUAUUAGUUUUGAUAUAAUAAUAUUUUGAUAUUUUAGUAUAAGUUUUUGUUAUCUGAUUUAUCAACUAUAUGAUUUGCAAAUUGCAAGCUUCCGCAUGACGCCCUAAUCACCCUUCAUAACCCAACACUUAGUCCAUACACGAAUAAAACUAUGCAUGUAUCGACAUAGUAUCGAUCCAAUAAUAAUAUAUCUGUACCGACAUGACACUUGAUCAAAUAAGAAUAUAAAGUGGUGGGUGUAUAAUUGUAUAGAGACCUAAAGGUCUAUAUAUAUUACAUACAAACUCACAUUAAUUGUUGUGUUCACAAAAAAAACAAAAAUGGAGUACAACUUAGUGUUAUUAUACACAAGUUUAGCAAUAGGAAUUUUAACCCUAAUUAGUGUUCUAAAGAGAGCAAAUGGAUGGUUUUUUACAAUCAAAUUUAGUCCCAAGAAAUUUAACUUGCCUCCAGGUGACAUGGGCUGGCCAUUAGUAGGG